UACGUAGGGGGCAAGCGUUGUCCGGAUUUAUUGGGCGUAAAGAGCGUGUAGGCGGCCAGGUAGGUCCGUUGUGAAAACUAGAGGCUCAACCUCUAGACGUCGAUGGAAACCAUCUGGCUAGAGUCCGGAAGAGGAGAGUGGAAUUCCUGGUGUAGCGGUGAAAUGCGCAGAUAUCAGGAAGAACACCUAUGGCGAAGGCAGCUCUCUGGGACGGUACUGACGCUGAGACGCGAAAGCGUGGGGAGCGAACAGG
rnacentral:rRNA from 1 species